GCCAGGCAUGGUGGCGUGUGCCUGUAAUCUCAGCUACUCGGGAGGCUGAGGCAGGAGAAUCGCUUGAUCCCAGGAGGCUGAGGCUGCAGUGAGCUGAGAUCAUGCCACUGUACUCCAGCCUGGGUGACAGAGCAAGACUCUGUCUCAA
rnacentral:SRP_RNA from 1 species